rnacentral:rRNA from 1 species
CCGAGAAUAUUCGACAAUGGGCGAAAGCCUGAUCGAGCGACGCCGCGUGCAGGAGGAAGUCCUUCGGGACGUAAACUGCUUUUAUAGGGGAGGAACGCAAGUGACUGUACCCUAUGAAUAAGGACUUGCUAAUCUCGUGCCAGCAGCCGCGGUAAUACGAGAGGUCCAAGCGUUAUCCGGAUUUACUGGGCGUAAAGGGUGCGUAGGAGGAUUUGUUAGUCUCUCGUUAAAGCUCCCGGCUUAACCGGGAAAAUGCGAGAGAUACGGCAAAACUUUGAGGAUGCCAGAGGCAAACGGAACUCACGGUGUAGGGGUGAAAUCCGUUGAUAUCGUGGGGAACACCAAAGGCGAAGGCAGUUUGCUGGGGCAGUCCUGACUCUGAGGCACGAAAGCGUGGGGA